CACAGGAAGAUGCAGUUGGGCUGUGAGAACAGAAUGCCUGUACACACAUGAGUGGCUGGGGUCGAGAUGAAAGAUGGUGGAGAAGAGCACAGCAAGGGAGGAAAAGCUGCUGCAUUGUGCUCUGCCCACAUGAACGACUGAUGUCUUUUCAGAGGUGCAGACAUCCUCAAACUAGAGCAGAUGCACCAAACAUUUCAUUUCUGGAAGCUAAAGGUCUCCUGUGGUAGACAGUUGUAUUUUUCAUUAGCUCUGUUCUUUCAGUCAGCUGUCACAAGCUGUGUAUUAGCUCAAGUAAUGAGAUUUAUCACUAGUGGAAGCAUAUAGGGCAAACAGAGGAGUAGAAAAAGAAGCUUGAAAGACACUAAUUAGGUUCCACAUUUAGAAAAGCAGAAUUUCCAGAGCAGCAAAGUCUGAAGAGACUUAAAAGAAGCAGUGACAGAGACAUUGUCUUCAAGUUUUUAAUUUAAAAAAUACAUCACUAAGCCACCUCUCUUGCUGCUGGAGCAUACAACCAGGAUGUUGUUGCUAUUUGACCUAUCACAUAGGCAAGCAUGUAAGAUUGUCCUAGAAGGCAUUAGCUGGAACAGCAGCAGCCUUCAAGACAUGAGGAAUAAGAGACAUUAACAGAGCCACAGAUCCCUUGCUGACAUCUUCCAGCAGCGAGCGUGGCUGAUGGCUCACAGCCAUUUUCAUCUACACACAUGCCAAGCCUGCCUUGGCAAAAAUUCCAACUGGUAAGAAUUCAUCUUUAACAUAAAGGACCUGCAUUGUAUUGCCCGCCUAUAUCACAGAUUUGGUUCUCCAACAGUAAAGUUACAAACAUCCGCAAGACGCUAAGCGCUCAACUCCCAUUUAAGACGGUGGGACCAGACCAUGCUGGACAGACCUACAGGACCAGGCAAUAAGGAAUCUACUUUCUUCAUUGCAUGAACUCCAUCAUUACAGUUUGAAGCUGCAUAUGAAGUCGACUCCUAUUUUUGGAACCGCUAUGCUCUACUUCAAGCAUUCACAGUAAAUAAAUAGCUUCUGAUGUGGCUAAUUAGCAUAGGAAGAUAAUAAAAAAAUUUUUGGAGAGAGCUUUUUCUUCUUCUUCUUUAAAAUCCUCUGGGAGACACCUCCAAGGAUCAGCCAUCAACUAUAAAAAGGUACCUUCUUA